GAUUUUUCCUCAGCAGAACGGGCAGAACAUAUACUAAAAUUGAAAUGAUACCGAUAAGAUUAGCAAGACCCCUGAGCAAGAAUGGCACAUGAAAUCGUGAUUAUACUUUUAUUAAU
rnacentral:snRNA from 1 species